AAGCCAACCGUUGACUCUGCUUACUUGAAUGUGUUUCUGCAGAAAUUUAGAAAAAGUUGGCAAUAAUAAAGCCAUGUUACGAGCCUUAGUGAUACUUAGGUCAUUAAGGUCCCUGAAAAUGGCUACAGUU
ensembl:snoRNA SNORA33 small nucleolar RNA SNORA33